rnacentral:rRNA from 1 species
GACGAACGCUGGCGGCGUGCUUAACACAUGCAAGUCGAGCGGUAAGGCCCUUUCGGGGGUACACGAGCGGCGAACGGGUGAGUAACACGUGGGUGACCUGCCCUCAGCUCUGGGAUAAGCCUGGGAAACCGGGUCUAAUACCGGAUAUGACUCCAUGACGCAUGUUGUGGGGUGAAAGCCUUGUGCGGCUGAGGAUGGGCCCGCGGCCUAUCAGCUUGUUGGUGGGGGAUGGCCUACCAAGGCGACGACGGGUAGCCGGCCUGAGAGGGCGACCGGCCACACUGGGACUGAGACACGGCCCAGACUCCUACGGGAGGCAGCAGUGGGAAUCUUGCGCAAUGGGCGAAAGCCUGACGCAGCGACGCCGCGUGAGGGAU